rnacentral:rRNA from 1 species
GAUGAACGCUGGCGGCGUGCCUAAUACAUGCAAGUCGAGCGAACAGACGAGGAGCUUGCUCCUCUGACGUUAGCGGCGGACGGGUGAGUAACACGUGGAUAACCUACCUAUAAGACUGGGAUAACUUCGGGAAACCGGAGCUAAUACCGGAUAAUAUAUUGAACCGCAGGGUUCAAUAGUGAAAGACGGUUUUGCUGUCAGGUAUAGAUGGAUCCGCGCUGCAUUAGCUAGUUGGUAAGGUAACGGCUUACCAAGGGAACGAUGCGUAGCCGACCUGAGAGGGUGAUCGGCCACACUGGAACUGAGACACGGUCCAGACUCCUACGGGAGGCAGCAGUAGGGAAUCUUCCGCAAUGGGCGAAAGCCUGACGGAGCAACGCCGCGUGAGUGAUGAAGGUCUUCGGAUCGUAAAACUCUGUUAUUAGGGAAGAACAAAUGUGUAAGUAACUAUGCACGUCUUGACGGUACCUAAUCAGAAAGCCACGGCUAACUACGUG